ensembl:lncRNA
GGUGCAGGACUUCUGAGUUACAACUCUGCAGGUCAGUUACCUGUGCUGGCGGCACGUGAAGGAAAUAAGGACACAUCCAUGCCACUGUUUGAAAUUUUGUCUGACCUGUGGAUUAAACAGUUUUGGAGUGUAGCUUGGCUUUGAAAGAAUAGGCAAGAUUUCUGUCUCAUUAUUUAGCUUGCAAGCCCAAGAAAUUUGCAUUGGCCCUGUUGCCUGUCUAUCCCAUAACAGUCUCUGUGGAUACACACACUCUGUUUUAUUUGCUGGCCCAAAUAUAUGCAACUCCAUCCCUCUCUCUAUCUAUUCCCUUACUUACAACAACACUUCUUUUUGUUAUCAAGGUGCAUCUGGGCCCACCUGCAUCUGAAGACACUUAUCUAAAGCUCACUGGACUCAAGGCAGUAUUCUAAUUGCUUUGCAAGCACUAAGUCAUGUAAUCUACUGUCUCCUACGUGAAUACCAAACAGCCCCCUCACCCUUGAAGAUGUCUUCCAACCUAACUUAAUGAAGGCCAGUCUCCAGGCUUUCCCCAAAUAUGCAAUCCAGUUAAAGGGAUGUUGCUUCAGCAGGUCACAGGCAAUAAAGCCUAUCACCCUGCAUUCUGUGGAGUGAAAUUUCAAGUUGAAGCAUCAGAUGAAGUUGUGCUAAAGAGAGAUCACCUGAACUUUUGUGAAAUCUGCAAUAGACCAGUUUUGCUCUGGCUAAAGAAUCUGAUGGGAAGAAACUCUCUAUAAACCAUCCCAUCUCAACUGUGGAUGCUCAAAAACCCAGGGGGCUUUCUAGAAGAUUCUACCCAGAUGAACUAAAUCUUUGGAAUUGUACCUGGGUAUCCGUUUUUUUAGAAGUUCCAUAGGUUGUGCUGAUACGCAGCCAGAAUUU